GGUUCCGAGAGCCCCAAGCUCUCUGCAUCUGAAAAGCUGGGAAGGAAUGGCCCAAGUGCUGCGGUGAGGAUUCAAUGACAUGAUGCUCACAACACUUCGGUGAAGAACCUGGCCAGUGAGGGGAGGGUCCUGCCCACUCCAAACACACGGGCCAUACUGCCAACCUCCCUCCCAUCGGCCCCAGGCUCUCUGUACUCUGGACAGCUCUCUGGGGCAAGGUCAUGCUACCCAGUGGGCAAGGGAGCUGAGGUCACUGUCUGCUCUCCAUCCUUGUCCCUGAGUCACUGCCUGGGCCAGAAAAGGGGAAAGCCAGCCUUGCUGGCUGCAGCCACGCUCUUGGCUCCACUGGUUCUGGGGAUCCUUAUUGUCCCUCAGGGUCUGCUAAUGCCUGGGGUCCAGCAGUUGCCGAGGACAGCAGGCAGACAGUAGAGUCAGGAGCCCUCUCUCCACUUCGCUGCCUGUGUCCCACAGAGCCUGCCUCUGGGGAAGCUGUGAGGUGUGUGGUGUUUUUUUCCAGUCCCUUCUGCUGGUGUCAGGUCGGCCGCCCACAAGCCGCCCACCCAGGGUGCUCACAUCAGCUACCUUCACUGUGACCCACGGCUCUUGGCUCACUCAUACCGAAAGCUGGCUGGCAUCCUGGAGAACUCAUGCCCCCUCACACGGAAGCCAUGGAAUUUCCCCAGUAAGGUGUCUUUGGCAACUCCAAGGCCACAGGAAGGUCAUAGCUGGUGAGACACAGAAUGUGAGGGAGGAAGCGCCAGCCCUGGCCACACUGGGCCCCCCUCCCAAGGGGACAGGAAAGCUCCCAGUCUCCGCAGACAGGAAUCUGACACAACCAGGGAGCACUGCAGCUGCAGGCGGGUCUCACGUUUCACACCUGACACCAGACUCCCCCAUCUAGAGCUGGAGUUCUCAGCCCCGGCUGCAUCCAAGACCAGGUUACUCCCAGAGGGUGUUUCCAUGGAUUUGCCCACCUCAGGACAGCCUCACCUGUGUUUCGUGCCUUGGGAAAAAGUUUACUGAACCCUGGCCCAAGUGAUUAAGUGAAGAUGAACUCAGGACAAAGACAUCACAUAGGAUUUCAGGGGCCCACAGUUGCCAGCUCUUCAGCCCAAGAACUGGAAGAAAAGCCAAAUAAAUAAAGUCAACUACACUCAUAAUCCACAGAGAAGGAUAAAAGCAGAAAGCUCCCCCCUUCCCCGCCUUUGGAAUAGCAUGUCCCCUGAGACAUAAUGUGGGUCACAGUGUGACUUCAUGAAGUUCUAAGUUUUAUUAACAUCCAGAAUAAGAUGACAUACCCACAGUCAAAUAAAUCCAGGCAUUUAAAAAUAACUCACAUAUCUUCUCACAAAAGACCUGCCAUUGUAACUCACUGAAAUGUAAGAAAGAAAGAAAAAAAAGGAAAAGAAAAACCUGAAUGAUUUUAUACAAUCUGUGAGUUCACAUGAAGGAAAGAAAGCACCAACAGAAUGGAACUGACUCCUGCAACAGCCAGUUGGGCUUACCCCUCAGAUCAGAAACUACCUCUCUGGCCUUGACUGAGAGAACGAUUUUUGCUAAAAGAAACUUUGUUAUACUGCCCCAAAUGUUACUCAAGACCCAAGUUAUAAAGCACAUCUUUAAAAAUUGUUAA